rnacentral:rRNA from 1 species
UACGUAGGGUGCAAGCGUUGUCCGGAUUUAUUGGGUUUAAAGGGUGCGUAGGUGGCUGAUUAAGUCAUGGGGGAAAGCCCGCAGCUCAACUGUGGAAUUGCCUGUGAUACUGAUUAGCUUGAGUGCGGUUGAGGCAGCUGGAAUUGGUGGUGUAGCGGUUAAAUGCAUAGAUACCACCAGGAACACCGAUUGCGAAGGCAGGUUGAUAAGCCGUAACUGACACUGAGGCACGAAAGCGUGGGGUGCAAACAGG